UUUGUAGAAUGAACCGGCGAGUUACGAUUUGUUGCAAGGUUAAGCGGAAAAAGCGGAGCCGUAGCGAAAGCGAGUCUGAAUAGGGCGCAUAAGUAACAGGUCGUAGACCCGAAACCAGGUGAUCUACCCAUGUCCAGGAUGAAGGUAAGGUAAUACUUACUGGAGGUCCGAACCCACGCACGUUGAAAAGUGCGGGGAUGAGGUGUGGGUAGCGGAGAAAUUCCAAUCGAACUUGGAGAUAGCUGGUUCUCUCCGAAAUAGCUUUAGGGCUAGCCUCGAGGUAAAGAGUCAUGGAGGUAGAGCACUGUUUGGACUAGGGGCCCUUCUCGGGUUACCGAAUUCAGAUAAACUCCGAAUGCCAUGUACUUAUACUCGGGAGUCAGACUGCGAGUGAUAAGAUCCGUAGUCGAAAGGGAAACAGCCCAGACCACCAGUUAAGGUCCCCAAAUAUAUGUUAAGUGGAAAAGGAUGUGGGGUUGCUUAGACAACCAGGAUGUUGGCUUAGAAGCAGCCACCAUUGAAAGAGUGCGUAAUAGCUCACUGGUCGAGUGACCCCGCGCCGAAAAUGUACCGGGGCUAAACAUAUUACCGAAACUGUGGAUGAACCUCUUUAGAGGUUCGUGGUAGGAGAGCGUUCUAAGGGCGGUGAAGUCAGACCGGAAGGACUGGUGGAGCGCUUAGAAGUGAGAAUGCCGGUAUGAGUAGCGAAAGAAGGGUGAGAAUCCCUUCCACCGAAUAUCUAAGGUUUCCUGAGGAAGGCUCGUCCGCUCAGGGUUAGUCGGGACCUAAGCCGAGGCCGAUAGGCGUAGGCGAUGGACAACAGGUAGAGAUUCCUGUACCAGUGCUAAUUGUUUAACCGAUGGGGUGACACAGAAGGAUAGGGAAUCGCACGAAUGGAAAUGUGCGUCCAAGCAGUGAGUGUGAGAAGUAGGCAAAUCCGCUUCUCACGAAGCAUGAGCUGUGAUGGGGAAGGAAAUUAAGUACGGAAGUUCCUGAUUUCACGCUGUCAAGAAAAGCCUCUAGGAAGAGUAGUACUGCCCGUACCGCAAACCGACACAGGUAGAUGAGGAGAGAAUCCUAAGGUGAGCGAGAGAACUCUCGUUAAGGAACUCGGCAAAAUGACCCCGUAACUUCGGGAGAAGGGGUGCUCUAUUAGGGUGCAAGCCCGAGAGAGCCGCAGUGAAUAGGCCCAGGCGACUGUUUAGCAAAAACACAGGUCUCUGCAAAACCGUAAGGUGACGUAUAGGGGCUGACGCCUGCCCGGUGCUGGAAGGUUAAGAGGAGUGCUUAGCUUCGGCGAAGGUACGAAUUGAAGCCCCAGUAAACGGCGGCCGUAACUAUAACGGUCCUAAGGUAGCGAAAUUCCUUGUCGGGUAAGUUCCGACCCGCACGAAAGGCGCAACGAUCUGGGCACUGUCUCAACGAGAGACUCGGUGAAAUUAUAGUACCUGUGAAGAUGCAGGUUACCCGCGACAGGACGGAAAGACCCCGUGGAGCUUUACUGCAACCUGAUAUGGAAUGUUUGUACCGCUUGUACAGGAUAGGUAGGAGCCGAAGAGACGUGUGCGCUAGCAUACGAGGAGGCAAUGGUGGGAUACUACCCUGGCUGUAUGACCAUUCUAACCCGCCACGCUUAGCGCGUGGGGAGACAGUGUCAGGUGGGCAGUUUGACUGGGGCGGUCGCCUCCUAAAGAGUAACGGAGGCGCCCAAAGGUUCCCUCAGAAUGGAUGGAAAUCAUUCGCAGAGUGUAAAGGCACAAGGGAGCUUGACUGCGAGACUGACAAGUCGAGCAGGGACGAAAGUCGGGCUUAGUGAUCCGGUGGUUCCGCAUGGAAGGGCCAUCGCUCAACGGAUAAAAGCUACCCCGGGGAUAACAGGCUUAUCUCCCCCAAGAGUCCACAUCGACGGGGAGGUUUGGCACCUCGAUGUCGGCUCGUCGCAUCCUGGGGCUGUAGUCGGUCCCAAGGGUUGGGCUGUUCGCCCAUUAAAGCGGCACGCGAGCUGGGUUCAGAACGUCGUGAGACAGUUCGGUCCCUAUCCGUCGCGGGCGCAGGAAAUUUGAGAGGAGCUGUCCUUAGUACGAGAGGACCGGGAUGGACACACCGCUGGUGUACCAGUUGUUCCGCCAGGAGCAUCGCUGGGUAGCUAUGUGUGGCAGGGAUAAACGCUGAAAGCAUCUAAGCGUGAAGCCCCCCUCAAGAUGAGAUUUCCCAUUUCUUCGGAAAGUAAGAUCCCUGAAAGAUGAUCAGGUAGAUAGGUUUGGAGUGGAAGUGUAGCGAUACAUGGAGCGGACAAAUACUAAUCGAUCGAGGACUUAACCAA
rnacentral:rRNA from 1 species